CCUACGGGUGGCUGCAGUGGGGAAUAUUGGACAAUGGGCGAAAGCCUGAUCCAGCCAUGCCGCGUGUGUGAAGAAGGCCUUCGGGUUGUAAAGCACUUUCAGUGGGGAAGAAAGCCUUGGGGCUAAUACCCUCGAGGAAGGACAUCACCCACAGAAGAAGCACCGGCUAACUCCGUGCCAGCAGCCGCGGUAAUACGGAGGGUGCGAGCGUUAAUCGGAAUUACUGGGCGUAAAGCGCGCGUAGGCGGUCUGAUAAGCCGGUUGUGAAAGCCCCGGGUUCAACCUGGGAACGGCAUCCGGAACUGUCAGGCUAGAGUGCAGGAGAGGAAGGUAGAAUUCCCGGUGUAGCGGUGAAAUGCGUAGAGAUCGGGAGGAAUACCAGUGGCGAAGGCGGCCUUCUGGACUGACACUGACGCUGAGGUGCGAAAGCGUGGGUAGCAAACAGGAUUAGAUACCCUAGUAGUC
rnacentral:rRNA from 1 species